AGCAGCCGCGGUAAUUCCAGCUCCAAUAGCGUAUAUUAAAGUUGUUGCAGUUAAAAAGCUCGUAGUUGAAUUUCGAGAUCGGUUUAUUGGUCGUACUAUUGUACGUACUGGUAUUACCGGUUUCUCCCUUCUGACGAACCAUAAUGCCAUUAAUUUGGUGUUUUGGGAAAUCAGGACUGUUACUUUGAAAAAAUUAGAGUGUUUAAAGCAGGCUCACGCUUGAAUACAUUAGCAUGGAAUAACGGAAUAGGACGUUUGAUUCUAUUUUGUUGGUUUCUAGGAUCGACGUAAUGAUUAAUAGGGAUAGUUGGGGGCAUUAGUAUUCAAUUGUCAGAGGUGAAAUUCUUGGAUUUAUUGAAGACUAACUACUGCGAAAGCAUUUGCCAAGGAUGUUUUCAUUAAUCAAGAACGAAAGUUAGGGGAUCGAAGACGAUCAGAUACCGUCGUAGUCUUAACCAUAAACUAUGCCGACUAGGGAUCGGAUGAUGUUAAUUUUUUAAUGACUCAUUCGGCGCCUUACGGGAAACCAAAGUGUUUGGGUUCGG
rnacentral:rRNA from 1 species